UCAGUGUUAAUUUGCAAUGCAAUAAUUAUAGUUUUCCGAUAACUAAAUGCACGUUUUAACCAAAAGACGGUCGGGAUCAGCAAACAAUUUAAACAAUUUACGUUUGCCUACUGUCUUCGGUUAUUGGGUAUCCAAUUGGUUUACAAUUUCGGGAUCACGUAUAAAAAUCGAAAAAUAAAUUGGGAAACAAUAUUAUUUUCGCCAUAAAGUAUUUAAGUUAAAAUAUAUCUUGGUCAAACAGUAUUUAAGCCGAGAGUGUUACAUCCGAAAAUAUUAUAGCUGACCGUAAAAGCUGGACAAAUAAUGUGUGAUAAUGACUGGUUACCACAACAGAUAAUAAUAACACGGUGGCAACGGCUGUGGCUACCAGGUUAAAAUUUUAUCGAAAUAAUACGUUUAAUACGUUAAAUAACAUGCAUUUAUAUCAAAGAAAGUAUUAAAGA